rnacentral:rRNA from 1 species
GACGAACGCUGGCGGCGUGCCUAAUACAUGCAAGUCGAACGCAGUGGGGACGGGUGAGUAACACGUGGGUAACCUCCCAUCAGAGGGGAUAACACUUGGAAACAGGUGCUAAACCGAUACUGAUGGAUGAACCCGCGGUGCAUUAGCUAGUUGGUGAGGUAACGGCUCACCAAGGCCACGAUGCAUAGCCGACCUGAGAGGGUGAUCGGCCACACUGGGACUGAGACACGGCCCAGACUCCUACGGGAGGCAGCAGUGGGGAAUCUUGGGCAAUGGGCGAAAGUCUGACCGAGCAACGCCGCGUGAGUGAAGAAGGUUUUCGGGUCGUAAAGCACUGUUGUUAGGGAAGCGGUAACUAAAGAGAAAGCCACGGCUAACUACGUGCCAGCAGCCGCGGUAAUAC